AACGAACGCUGGCGGCAUGCCUAACACAUGCAAGUCGAACGAGACCUUCGGGUCUAGUGGCGCACGGGUGCGUAACGCGUGGGAAUCUGCCCUUGGGUUCGGAACAACAGUUGGAAACGA
rnacentral:rRNA from 1 species